GAGGCUACAGCUCAGUGGUAGGGCAGGCACUUAGCAUGCAUGAGGUCCUGGGUUCAAUUCCCAGUAGUGCCA
rnacentral:tRNA from 1 species